rfam:Balearica pavonina gibbericeps contig86975, whole genome shotgun sequence.
ACUCUAGUGUGGUGCUGUGAAGAGACAUCAGAGGUGUAGAAUAAAUGGGAAGCCCCGUGGCUGUGCAGCCAUGGUCCAGUUGCCAGGGAAAUACUACUGAUCCUUUUUUCCACUUACCAAGUGAGGAGGAGGAAAGGGUGAGCCCCCAAAGGGCUCUCUUUCACUUCUGAUGCCAAGUGCCUGGUACGACUUGCUCCAGGGACAGUAGGAGUUUGCCUGGGGCAAUACACCUAUCAAACUGUGACGCAAGUGUCCUAAGGUGAGCUCAGGGAGGACAGAAACCUCCCACAGAGCAGAUGACCAAGGCUUGAUCUUGAUUUUCAGUACAAAUACCAUCCAUGAAAGCAGGGCCUCACUAUUCUUCCAACUUUUUGGGUUUUAAGCAGGCAUC